AAGAGACUUAGUCCUAACCUUGCCAUUAAUUCCCCGCUAAACAUAUACAUGCAAGUAUCCGCACGCCAGUGUAAAUGCCCACAGCCGCCUUACCAAGGCAAAAGGAGCAGGCAUCAGGCGCACUUACGACUGUAGCCCAAGACGCCUUGCUUAGCCACACCCCCACGGGAACUCAGCAGUAAUUAACAUUAAGCAAUGAGUGUAAACUUGACUUAGUUAUAGCAACCCAAGGGCCGGUAAAUCUUGUGCCAGCCACCGCGGUCACACAAGAGGCCCAAAUUAAUCGCUAAACGGCGUAAAGCGUGGCACUACCCUAUCACAGCAACUAAGAUCAAAAUGCAAUCGAGCUGUCAUAAGCCUAAGCUGCACCAAAGACCGCCUUAAAGAUGAUCUCAGCCCCUCUGAUUGACUACGCCCACGAAAGCCAGGGCACAAACUGGGAUUAGAUACCCCACUAUGCCUGGCCUUAAAUCUAGAUGCUCACCGUACCCAAGCAUCCGCCCGAGAACUACGAGCACAAACGCUUGAAACUCUAAGGACUUGGCGGUGCCCCAAACCCACCUAGAGGAGCCUGUCCUAUAAUCGAUAACCCACGAUACACCCGCCCGCUUCUUGCCAAAGCAGCCUAUAUACCGCCGUCACCAGUCCACCUCUGUGAGAGAAUAAUAGUGGGCACAAUAGCCCCCGCGCUAACAAGACAGGUCAAGGUAUAGCCUAUGAAGCGGAAGAGAUGGGCUACAUUCUCUAAAAUAGAGAACUCACGAAAGCGGGUGUGAAAUCACCCCCGGAAGGCGGAUUUAGCAGUAAAGUGGAAUAAUAAAGCCCCCUUUAAGUUGGCCCUGGGGCACGUACAUACCGCCCGUCACCCUCCUCAUAAGCUUCAACCGCCCAUAGCUAAUACGCCCACUAGCCAAAGACGAGGUAAGUCGUAACAAGGUAAGUGUACCGGAAGGUGCACUUAGCACAUC
rnacentral:rRNA from 1 species